GAUGAACGCUGGCGGCGUGCCUAAUACAUGCAAGUCGAGCGAACAGAUAAGGAGCUUGCUCCUUUGACGUUAGCGGCGGACGGGUGAGUAACACGUGGGUAACCUACCUAUAAGACUGGAAUAACUCCGGGAAACCGGGGCUAAUGCCGGAUAACAUUUAGAACCGCAUGGUUCUAAAGUGAAAGAUGGUUUUGCUAUCACUUAUAGAUGGACCCGCGCCGUAUUAGCUAGUUGGUAAGGUAACGGCUUACCAAGGCAACGAUACGUAGCCGACCUGAGAGGGUGAUCGGCCACACUGGAACUGAGACACGGUCCAGACUCCUACGGGAGGCAGCAGUAGGGAAUCUUCCGCAAAGGGCGAAAGCCUGACGGAGCAACGCCGCGUGAGUGAUGAAGAUCUUCGGAUCGUAAAACUCUGUUAUUAGGGAAGAACAAAUGUGUAAGUAACUGUGCACGUCUUGACGGUACCUAAUCAGAAAGCCACGGCUAACUACGUG
rnacentral:rRNA from 1 species